AACGAACGCUGGCGGCAUGCCUAACACAUGCAAGUCGAACGAGAUCUUCGGGUCUAGUGGCGCACGGGUGCGUAACGCGUGGGAAUCUGCCCUUUGGUUCGGAAUAACAGUUGGAAACGACUGCUAAUACCGGAUGAUGACGAAAGUCCAAAGAUUUAUCGCCAGAGGAUGAGCCCGCGUAGGAUUAGCUAGUUGGUGAGGUAAUGGCUCACCAAGGCGACGACGGAUAGCUGGCGUGAGAGCGCGACCAGCCACACUGGAACUGAGACACGGUCCAGACUCCUACGGGAGGCAGCAGUGAGGAAUUUUCCGCAAUGGGCGAAAGCCUGACGGAGCAAUACCGCGUGGAGGAUGACGGCCCUCGGGUUGUAAACUCCUUUUAAAUGGGAAGAUUAUGACGGUACCAUUUGAAUAAGCAUCGGCUAACUACGUGCCAGCCGCCGCAGUAA
rnacentral:rRNA from 1 species